rnacentral:lncRNA from 1 species
GGGAAAGUGAGAACACAGUCCGCCACUAUCACCAAUUAUGCAGUCAAGUUUCCCACAGUUGGGUAAAUCGCAGAGGUCAGCGUUUCCAACUUGGAUGGAUGAAACUUGCCCUGGGAAAACCAUCAUGGUAUCUCCCCUGACAGGCACAGACUAUAAGUGUAAGAUGCACAGUCACUGAGGUCUUGGAGGAGAGAGGGGUUACAACUUUAAAGAGAAAAGCCAUCUGUCUGCAUGGCAGUUAUGAUGACAUCAAAUAAGAAGAACUCUUUGGAUUCUAUUUCAGAUCAAAUCAGCUAUGUUUUUAGGUGCACAGGAAUUUGGAAUUAUUAUAUCUUGUUGGUGAAUUAAAACAUAUUAUCAAUGUAAGUAGCAAAGAAGGAAAAAAAUGCAGAAAAGAGAGGGGAGCGGUCCUAAUUUCUCAACUUCACUUGGAAUUAACAAGGCUGAAGUUCUAAUCCUGAAGGAAUAUAAUAAGGAGCUCAUUGAAGGCUCUGGCUGUGCUUUGUCAUCUCAGCUUCUCCAGUGCCCAGCUUAGUGAUAAACAUUAAGUUCUUUGAACUUCUGUCACACUGAUCUGUCUUUAUGGAUUGGAAUGCUCAAGAAAAAACAAUAACAAGCAUUAAACAUGAAGACGGAAGUAUAAUGAAUGUAUCAAAGGAAUGAGAGUGCUAUUGGACCUUAUAAUAAGACUCAACUGGAUGUGGGACUCACUGAGGAAGUUGUCUUAAGAUUGAGAGAAGAUAAGGAUCUGCCAGCGGUGGCAAAUACUCAUAAAAUUUCCUCAUCCAACGGAUUCCUGUGAAACUCGACAAAAAGCUAAUUGAAAAGGAGAGGCAC